rnacentral:rRNA from 1 species
ACGCGAGCUGGGUUCAGAACGUCGUGAGACAGUUCGGUCCCUAUCCGUCGCAGGCGUAGGAAAUUUGAGAAGACCUGUCCUUAGUACGAGAGGACCGGGAUGGACGUACCUCUGGUGUACCAGUUGUUCUGCCAAGGGCAUGGCUGGGUAGCUAUGUACGGAAUGGAUAAGCGCUGAAAGCAUCUAAGCGCGAAGCCAACUUCAAGAUAAGAUUUCCCACCGCAAGGGUAAGACCCCAGAAAGACUAUCUGGUUGAUAGGUCGAAGGUGUAAGUGCAGCAAUGUAUUUAGCUUAUCGAUACUAAUAGGUCGAGGACUUGACCAAU